AAAGAUAAAUAAUUUGAUUUUAGCUCUAAAAUAUGUACAUAUCGCCCGUCGCUCUUAUUAUUUAAGGUAAGAUAAGUCGUAACAUAGUAGAUGUACUGGAAAGUGUAUCUAGAAUGA
rnacentral:rRNA from 1 species